rnacentral:ncRNA from 1 species
UUAACAUCAAUGAUCAGAAAGAGUAAAUACAGAAAUUUAGUCUUAGCGAGUCUGGGAUGGUGCAAGCCGGAUACUGUAGUCUGUAUUGAAUGGGUCUGUGAGAUGAAGUGCGAAUUUAUAGUAGCAUUUUCCGGGAGUCUUCCGUUAAAAGGACAGGGUAUCGAUUAAUUCUGUACCUGAUAAAGAUAAAUUUCCAUUUAGGUGGCAUAGCGAGUACAACAUCUCGCCCUAUGUGAGGGCUAGGUGUUUUUUUAUUUACUUUAAAAUUUAUGUAAGCUUUGCUAUUAUUAAAUUGGAAAUUUAAUAUGGGUGGCACCACGAGUCACUUCGUCCCAUAA